rnacentral:rRNA from 1 species
GAUGAACGCUAGCGGGAGGCCUAACACAUGCAAGUCGAACGGGAUCCCCGAGCAAUCGGGGUGAGAGUGGCGCACGGGUGAGUAACGCGUAUGCAACCUACCUUUAACAGAGGGAUAGCCCAUAGAAAUGUGGAUUAAUACCUCAUAGUUCUGAGAUUUCGCAUGGGAUUUCAGAUAAAGCUCCGGCGGUUAAAGAUGGGCAUGCGUGACAUUAGCUAGUUGGUAAGGUAACGGCUUACCAAGGCAACGAUGUCUAGGGGUUCUGAGAGGAUGAUCCCCCACACUGGUACUGAGACACGGACCAGACUCCUACGGGAGGCAGCAGUGAGGAAUAUUGGUCAAUGGGCGCAAGCCUGAACCAGCCAUCCCGCGUGAAGGAUGAAGGUCCUAUGGAUUGUAAACUUCUUUUAUACACCAAGAAAAACUCCCACGAGUGGGAGCCCGACGGUAGUGUAUGAAUAAGCAUCGGCUAACUCCGUGCCAGCCGCCGCUGUAAUAC